AGUGAACGUUGGCGGCGUGGAUUAGGCAUGCAAGUCGAGCGAGAACCGUAGCAAUACGGGGACAGCGGCGAAAGGGACAGUAAUGUGUAGGUACCUACCUCCGGGUUCGGGAUAGCUGCGGGAAACUGCAGGUAAUACCGAAUAACGUCUCCGGACCAAAGGUGUGAUUCCACCUGGAGAGGGGCCUGCAUCCUAUUAGCGUGUUGGUGGGGUAACGGCUUACCAAGGCGACGAUGGGUAGCGGGUGUGAGAGCAUGACCCGCGCCAUUGGGACUGAGACACUGCCCAGACACCUACGGGUGGCUGCAGUCGAGGAUCUUCGGCAAUGGGCGCAAGCCUGACCGAGCGACGCCGCGUGCGGGAUGAAGGCCUUCGGGUUGUAAACCGCUGUCGUAGAGGAGGAAAUGCAGGAGGGUUCUCCCUUCUGUUUGACCUAUUCUAGGAGGAAGUACGGGCUAAGUUCGUGCCAGCCGCCGCUGUAA
rnacentral:rRNA from 1 species